UACGUAGGGGGCAAGCGUUGUCCGGAUUUAUUGGGCGUAAAGCGCUCGCAGGCGGCCCGAUGCGUCGUGCGUGAAACACCCCGGCUCAACUGGGGAGGGUCGUGCGAUACGGUCGGCUUGAGGCCAGUAGGGGGAUGCGGAAUUCCGGGUGUAGUGGUGGAAUGCGUAGAGAUCCGGAGGAACACCAGCGGCGAAGGCGGCAUCCUGGACUGGUACUGACGCUCUGAUGAAGCGAUGGG
rnacentral:rRNA from 1 species